GCUCAGGACGAACGCUGGCGGCGUGCUUAACACAUGCAAGUCGAGCGGUAAGGCCUUUCGGGGUACACGAGCGGCGAACGGGUGAGUAACACGUGGGUGAUCUGCCCUGCACUCUGGGAUAAGCCCGGGAAACUGGGUCUAAUACCGGAUAUGACUGCAUGCCGCAUGGUGUGUGGUGGAAAGCUUUAUGUGGUGCAGGAUGGGCCCGCGGCCUAUCAGCUUGUUGGUGGGGUAAUGGCCUACCAAGGCGACGACGGGUAGCCGACCUGAGAGGGUGACCGGCCACACUGGGACUGAGACACGGCCCAGACUCCUACGGGAGGCAGCAGUGGGGAAUAUUGCACAAUGGGCGGAAGCCUGAUGCAGCGACGCCGCGUGAGGGAUGAAGGCCUUCGGGUUGUAAACCUCUUUCAGCAGGGACGAAGCGUGAGUGACGGUACCUGCAGAAGAAGCACCGGCUAACUACGUGCCAGCAGCCGCGGUAAUACGUAGGGUGCGAGCGUUGUCCGGAAUUACUGGGCGUAAAGAGUUCGUAGGCGGUUUGUCGCGUCGUUUGUGAAAACCCGGGGCUCAACUUCGGGCUUGCAGGCGAUACGGGCAGAACUUGAGUGUUUCAGGGGAGACUGGAAUUCCUGGUGUAGCUUUAUAAAUGCGCAGAUAUCAGGAGGAACACCGGUGGCGAAGGCGGGUCUCUGGGAAACAACUGACGCUGA
rnacentral:rRNA from 1 species